rnacentral:tRNA from 1 species
AGAGCAGUGGCGGAAUGGUAUACGCUCAGGUUUCAGAAGCCUGUGGAUUUAUCCGUGGGAGUUCAAAUCUCCUCUGCUCUACCA